rnacentral:lncRNA from 1 species
AGCUUGCCCAUGCCGGCCUGGCACUAAUAUUACAAAGCCACUCAUUCAACUCAUAAUUUCACGUACAUCUCUACAACUAAAAAUAUUUAUGAAGAUGACCCAUCUACCACACCCAUGGUGAAGCCAUAACUUCCGUCUCUUUUACUAUGUCAUGAUAGAUUAUCCCAUCAACCCAGGCCCCACUCACCCAUGCAUACAAAAUUGUUUUUAACAAAUUUAAAAAAGUCAUAACACUUAAACCGAAGAUAUAAAUUAAAUUCCAAUUGCACUAUUAAAUUACUUAUAACAAAUCAUUCAAAACAAGUUCACAUAUGGAUAUAUUUAAAUAAAAUUUUAUUAAUGAAUAUUUAUCUCUACAACUAAAAAUUAUGGAAGGACCCGUCCACAACUCCCAUCCCUUUGGUGGUCUUUUUUAUUGCUUGAUGACACACUAUCCCAUCAACCUAGGCCCCACUCAUCUAUGCAUGCAAAAUUAUUUUAGCGAAUUAAAAGAAGUCAUAACUCCUAAGUUUAGAGAUAUAAAUUUAAUUCCGACUGCACCAUUAAAUUUCUUAUAACAAAUUCUUUAAAACAAGAUCACACAUGGAUAUACUUAGAUAAAUUUUAUUAAUGAAUAUUUAUCUUAUAAAGAUAAAAUAUUUUCUUUUAUUAAGUAGAGACAAUAUUCUAGGUUCAACAGACAAUGUUCUGUCUUUGUAAAAAAUGUUAUUGAUUUAGAAGAAUAGUAUUUUGGUUUUAGGUUUAUGAAACUGAUAUUACAAUAUACAUAAAAAUACAUAAAUACAUGACAUAGAUAAAAAUAAUAAUAAAAUCUAGAGUAAAAAGCAUAAGAAAAAAAUAAAAACACAAAAUGGAGAAAAAUUUCAAAUAAUGUCAAAGGGUUAGUUUUCAAAUAUCAUAAAUAUAUUUAUAGAAUAUUAAAUUCACUAAAUACACCAUAGAACAUCAUUGAAUAUAUUAUAGAACAUCACAUUUAUUAUAGAUUACAUGUAUACUAAGUGAACACCAUAAGAAACAUCAUAGAACAUCACAUGUAUACUACAUAAACAUAACAUAACAAAACAUAGAACACUAAAUUUAUACUACAUAAAUAUCACAUAUAUAUAGAAAAUAAAAAUAAAAAAUAAAAUUACUAAGAAGAAAAAUAUAAAAACAAACAUGAUUAACAAAUGAUAAAAAGUGCAUAGAGCAAAUAAAAUAAAUGAAUAAUUUAAAUAAGGAUAGAAAAAAGAUUAAAAGGAAAUAAAAUAUAAAAUAAGAAUGAAGAAACAUAGAAAACCUGAAAAGAAAAAGAGAAACAAAUAGAAGCAAGGAAGAACAAUACAAAUAAAACCAAAAGAAAAAGAAAAUAAAAGGUAAAAUUAAAACAAGAAAAGAAUAAGGAAAGGACAAAAAAUAAAAUAAAAUCAAAAAACGAAAACUGAAAAGAAAUGAAAAAGGAAAAAUAUAGACAGAAAAAUUGAAAUAACAAUGAAGAAACAUAAAGUAUGUGGAUUUUAAGACCCGUAACAACGUACGGGCAUUAACCUAUUAACUUCUAAGUCAUCAAAAUCAUCACACAAUGCAAGAAGAAAGUAGCAGAGCAAAAAACACAAUGAAGUUGUGAAACUAAAACUAAUCCCGCACAUCCGCAGCUCAUCCGCAGCUCAUCGUUAUGCGAGUGAUCAAACUCGCAUUCAUCGUUGUCCAGGGCCAUCCUUGCCGUCUCCGGUACCUCGACGGUUGCACCAAUGAACAAGGGAACAGAGCAAAUAGUUAGGAUUAGGGAUUAGGGUUAGGGUUAGGGAUUAGGGUUAGGGAUUAGGAUUAGGGAUUACCUCUGCAGGCCGGAGCGCCGGAAACGACGGGAAGGACCAUGAGCACACCCUAGUACCUCAACGGAGACCGGAGCCCCGGAGGGUGCGCCGGCCGAUGAUGAGAACGACGGACAUAAGAUGGGGAGGAGUCGGGGAGGAAUCGACUUUCAGGAUGAAGAACAAGGGAACAAAUGCAGAUUGAGGGCGAGAACCACCAAAUCUGAUAGAGAAGAGGGAGAUGAGGGCAGAGAGGAGGGGAAAGUGUCGAGAUUGAGGACGGAACCCACCGGAUGCGACCCCUUACCCGCCGGAGUUCUCCAUGGAUACGGC